UCUAUGCAUUUUUUUGUAAAUUCACUCCUUGCCGAGUUAUAUGCAUGUAAAUGUACCAUAAAUUACUUUUUUGUAAAAUAACUCAAAAACAAAUGAAUUUAGAGAAAAAAUUAUAAAUAUAAAAAUUAUAGGAAAUUAAAUUUCCUUUAAAAAAGUGUUCUAUGCAUUUUUUUGUAAAAUCACUCCUUGCCGAGUUACAUGCAUGUAAAUGUACCAUAAAUUACUUUUUUGUAAAAUAACUUAAAAACAAAUGAAUUUAGAGAAAAAAUUAUUAGUACAAAAAUUGUAGGAAAUUAAAUUUCCCUUAAAAAAGUGUUCUAUGCAUUUUUUUGUAAAUUGACUCCUUGCCGAGUUACAUGCAUGUAAAUGUACCAUAAAUUACUUUUUUGUAAAAUAACUCAAAAACAAAUGAAUUUAGAGAAAAAAUUAUUAGUACAAAAAUUGUAGGAAAUUAAAUUUCCUUUAAAAAAGUUUUCUACGCAUUUUUUUGUAAAAUCAC